CCUACGGGUGGCAGCAGUGGGGAAUAUUGCACAAUGGGGGAAACCCUGAUGCAGCGACGCCGCGUGAAGGAAGAAGUAUUUCGGUAUGUAAACUUCUAUUAGCAGGGAAGAAAAUGACGGUACCUGACUAAGAAGCCCUGGCUAACUACGUGCCAGCAGUCGCGGUAACACGUCGGGGGCCAGCGUUAUCCGGAUUUACUGGGUGUAAAGGGAGCGUAGGCGGUUUAGCAAGUCAGAAGUGAAAGCCCGGGGCUCAACUACGGGACUGCUUUUGAAACUGGUGAACUAGAGUGCAGGAGAGGUAAGUGGAAUUCGUAGUGUAGCGGUGAAAUGCAUAGAUAUUAGGAAGAACACCAGUGGCGAAGGCAGCUUACUGGACUGUAAAUGACGCUGAGGCUCGAAAGCGUGGGGAGCAAACAGGAUUAGAUACCCGUGUAGUC
rnacentral:rRNA from 1 species